rnacentral:rRNA from 1 species
UUUCGAAUCAUUCACAAUGGGCGAAAGCCUGAUGGUGCGACGCCGCGUGAGGGAUGAAGGUCUUCGGAUUGUAAACCUCUGUCACUGGGGAAGAAACGCUUCACGUAAACAUCGUGAAGCCUGACUUAACCCGGAGAGGAAGCAGUGGCUAACUCUGUGCCAGCAGCCGCGGUAAUACAGAGACUGCAAGCGUUAUUCGGAUUCACUGGGCGUAAAGGGUGCGCAGGUGGCCAAGUGUGUGAGGCGUGAAAGCCCGUUGCUCAACAGCGGAAUUGCACCUCAAACUACAUGGCUAGAGCAUUGGAGAGGGUAGCAGAAUUCGCGGUGUAGCAGUGAAAUGCGUAGAUAUCGUGAGGAAUACCAGAGGCGAAGGCGGCUACCUGGACAAUUGCUGACACUCAGGCACGAAAGCGUGGGGAGCAAAAGGG